UGGCCUACGGGGCGCAGCAGUGGGGAAUAUUGGACAAUGGGGGAAACCCUGAUCCAGCGACGCCGCGUGAGUGAAGAAGUAUUUCGGUAUGUAAAGCUCUAUCAGCAGGGAAGAAAAUGACGGUACCUGACUAAGAAGCCCCGGCUAACUACGUGCCGGCAGCCGCGGUAAUACGUAGGGGGCAAGCGUUAUCCGGAUUUACUGGGUGUAAAGGGAGCGUAGACGGCAUAGCAAGUCUGAAGUGAAAGCCCGUGGCUCAACCGCGGAACUGCUUUGGAAACUGUUAAGCUGGAGUACUGGAGAGG
rnacentral:rRNA from 1 species